rnacentral:lncRNA from 1 species
CAGGGUGGGAUAAGGCGGUGCGGAUGAGGUGCGGAUCUCGCAGCCGCUUCCUGCUAUUGAGGCUACACCCCUGUCGCAGAGAGGGCGGCCUUAGGAACCGCCCUAGCUGAGGUGGACGGCCGGCUGUCAGUAUCACAAGGCUGGGCUCUCUUGAGGGGGCAAAACGGGGUGCCGGCCGUUGGCAUCGCAUCAAAACGUGUUCGGGUGCGACACAGCGGUGGUAGAGGGCUACAGUGUGACCUACCAAAAGUGAUCGUUUGGUAACGACGUGGCCCAUUUCGGACUUCCAAAAUGGUUACCAAGCCGUGGUCGCACCUCAGGACGCAGAGCUGGCUCUGGCCUGAGCAGAGCCCCGGGCACGGAGGGGAAGCAGUAAUAACGAUAGAAAUGCCUGCAAUGCGGUGGUGUCCCAGAAGAGCCGUGUUUUCAGUCGCUUUAUAUAACCGGAUGGAAAAAUCCUUUCCCUGAUCUCAGCCAUUUCAUUACCUCUGUUUACCCGGAAUCGGAGCUCCCUGCAUCGAGAAAGCUCUCAGUCACAUUUUCCAGAGUUGUGUAUCUGGAGGGAUGAGUAACUGCUGCACACUGAGUCACGGCGAGGGAGGGAGCGGUGGGAAAGGCAGCCAGGGCACUGCUGAGUGACUGCCGUGCUGCCGUGCUCAUCCCCCGGCUCCUGAUGCGAUCUGCACCUUGCCGUUCAGCUCAGUUCCUCACUGACAGCUUUUAAUUAAGCUUACGGCAAUGUCUGGGGCGUACGGUGGCUGUAAAACCUGAUGGUGACCCAGCUGGGCUGAAGUCUGCUGUGACUGAAUGCAGCUGAGUUAUGCUUAUGAUUAAGCUGCAAGAUAGGCUUAUUAGAUAAACUUCCGGUAUCAGCCUGUUACCCAAGUAUGUGAGGCAUGUUUGAGUUUAAUUACAUGCGAUUGCAGUCCAGCUGAUUCCAGUUGUGCCUUUCUGCUCACUGGAGGACUGCAGGAAAACACAGAGCGAAGCAGGGCUGAGCCUCCAGGCAGGGCUUUUACUUUGAACCCCUGAGGCUGUUGGGCAUUUCUCAGGCCCGAGAAAAGCUUGGCUAUUAGGAGAGAGCGUUCAGCACGCUGCUGCAAAGCAAAGCAAAACCAACUCUUAUCUGCCCACUUCAUGCUGAGGAAGAGAAGUAAAGCAUAAGGCAGCCUUUUAUAUCAGAAGUGCUCAGGCCCGAUGAGGAAUGAGAGCUGAGAACCAGGGGGGAAAAACACUGAAUAGGUGGCAGCAGAAAUUCACACAUGGAUGUGACGGUGGGCCCAGCUGCUGAGAAGAAGGGAUGCGGUGAAAAGCCGCUGAAUCUCUAUAUGGGGAAGGAGGAACCCAGGAGAAAAUCAGGCUGUUUCAGCUGCACUUUCUAGUGUGGGAGCUGAGAUAGAUGGGAGGAAGCAAGCAUGAUAGUGAAUGCAAACCCUGCUGCGGGCUGUUAAAACAGCCUCUGAGUCGUGUCUUGAA